rnacentral:lncRNA from 1 species
GUACACAUGGGAUGAGGGGAAAGGAUUCAACCCCAGAAAUUAGAAAUCUGAGAAGAGUAGAUAAAAUACCAGUAAGGAAAGGCUUCAUAAUUUUUCUAACAUGGCAGCCACUACUUUCUUCCUUAACUCUGCUAAACACCGUGGAAUUUUUGGACCUCUCUUUUCGGUACUUCAUAAAAUCGUGAUAUGGCCCCCAAAUCAACUAUAUGCCAAAUUUUUAAGCCUUCAUAAAACUAAAUAAAACGGUGCACUUGUAUGUUUUGAUGGCUGGCCAUUAUUAUGCUCAUUGACUACAAAGAUUAUAACAGAAGAAAAGUGAAAUUCUUUUGAAUGGUGUUUAAAACGGAAGUAUUUCAUAGGUAAGAAAAAGUCAUUUAACAUUACCUUUCAUAUCUUACCUGCUGAGAGCAUUGGAGAUCUAUUCUUUUCAAUCACAGCCCAGCAAGAUUAAGUGAUAACAUAAAAGCUCCUGGCCAGCAGCAAAUGUGGUAAAGGGAGUGGAACCCACGCACCAGGAGCACUGGCUCAGCUCUGAUCUCCAACCCCAAAGAGAGUGUCAUAAAGAUUCCCUCCCUGCACGAGCAACAAAAGCACAACCUAGCAGACGUCCACCUCAUUAGUCUAACCAUCUAUUAGUAUUUUGUUUGCUUUUACUUCAUUAGUCAUUUGAGAAAGGUGACGAAUUGGAAACUCUUCCACUGGAAGAACUAAUUCUUGUCCCGGAAAGGAAUCCUCAGGAUUAUCCAUCAACUGUUCACAUCGUUUAGCCUUAAAAAAAAGAGAUCAACUCAAACAAAUUAUUUGUUGAGGACUCCUGUGGGACAGCUCUAAGACUGAAGCAAAUAGGCCACUUAUUUGGACACUGGAUUGAGUCUCGUAGUCAAGUGAGCAAAGGAUAAAGAUUAUAUAUAUGAAGAAAACCAUAUCCAAGGCAUUAGGCUCAAGGGUCUAAAAUCAGAAGGAGAGAAAAGACUCACAGAUUUUCAAUGUGGUAUAAUGACCAUAAACCACAUGGUCAUGUGAGACAAGGGAUGAGAUUAUGUCUAUAAGUGGCAACUUAGUUUUUUACUUAGAAUCUUUUCUACGUGUGACAUCUUUUAGCCUUUGGUCUAAUUUUUCUCCAGGAUCCAGGGCUUGUUGGCUGAAGGUAAAUUUCCAGAGCAAAUAACCCUUUGAUGAGCAGACCGAACUUUCUUCUUAAGUACAGUCAACAUAAGUGGAGGCUGGCACCACUUUUCCAAUUCUUACGACAAUAUAAAGGCAUGACUAAGAUUGUACCUCUUCCCAGAGGAGCUGCACAGGAGUUUGGGAUCAUCAACAUGUUAAAUCUCCAGAGAAAUCGACAAUAUACGAUGAGAUCACUUGUGUGUAAUUAAACUAAAAAUAAAUUCUGUCUUACAUUGUAUGGAAAUGACUGCUGACUUUUUCCCCACACAUAACUACAGUCUGAGGGAAAGAAUCAGCUUAGCAGUUUGCUGAUGUUGAAAUUCAUUUAUCCUACUAAACACAAGAGCUAUUACUUCUUCCUCGACACAGUUUUAUUGGGGUAUACAUCUUAGUUUCUGCAUAUUCAGUUCUUUCAACAAAAACUGAAAAACGAAUGGGCCUGUGGUGUGUCAGUGGCAGUUACAGGCUCUGAGGACAUCACAAGGAAAUCGAAUAGAGAAGGCAACAUCUCUGCCCUCACAGAGCUCCCAGUUUAGUGGAUGGAUCUAUAAAUGUACCACCUACAUACAAAGGACAGCAAAGUUUUCCAUCAGUCUGCUUCCCUUCUUAGAUCUGACAAUGUCUGAAUAGUGUCAGGGUUCUAUACAAGUCACUCAGCAACUUUUAUUCUACAGAGUAUUAAACCACAGCCCAGAUCUAAAUUUUAGCAGACAUGCAUGAUAUUCUGCGGGUUGUUGUUGUUUUUUUUCCCUACAGUAGGGUGUCCUCCCUUGCAUAAGUUACCUUUAACAGAAAUAUUUUUUGUAGUUCCCAUCAUGGCUCAGCGGUUAACGAAGCUGACUAGGAACCAUGAGGUUCUGGGUUUGAUCCCUGGCCUCACUCAGUGGGUUAAGGAUCCAGCGUUGCCAUGAGCUGUGGGCAGGGACCGAACCCGCAACUUCAUGGUUCCUAGUUGGAUUCGUUAACCACUGGGCCACGACAGGAACUCCUAUUUAGCUUUUUGUUUUAACUAGAUAUUAAACACACGUAAAUGCUUGUUUGAAACUUGAAAAAUCCUGCAGGGAUCGUGGAAGUUGGUGCAGGAAAACACAGUAGAGCAACUGAACAAAUAUCUGUUGUGAGAUUUACCGUCUGCCCAGGGGACGCCUGAAAGCACUUCCUUAGCAAAGCUCUUCCUUCACCUAUGAGGUAAUAAUGACCAGGGAAUUGCCAAAGCCCUCAAGCCAAAGAGCAGGUGACAUCAACUUUAUCCUGAGCAAUUUAAAUCUAUCUGCGGUGCCAUGUUCCCCAGAAGGGGCCUAGACGAAAAACAAGAGUCAACUGUGUUUUCCUUUAUGGUUCUUUUCUACCCUUAGCAGCUGCCCCUCUAAAAAAAAAAGAUGAAACUUAAGCUUUGUCUAUGGAGAUUACUUUCACAGUUAGGAUUUUUUUAGUCCCAUUUAGUUGCUACUGUCUUAUCUCUGAGCCAGCUAUCUUUGUAGUAAAAUUCCUAAGCCCAACAGGUUUUGAAUUUCCAUCUGUUGUGUAAUAAAUUAAAUUAAUAUGUCAUAUGACUUAAAAAGGCUUUUGUCCUGGGUUCCUGGAAAGGAGCUUCCAAACUUGGAACUGCCUGAGGGAAAGGAGUAUCUUUGUUAUUUACUGUAGGUCCUCAGACUACACCUGAAUUUAGGCAAAUGAAGAACUCAAAGGGGGUCCCCAGCCAGUUUCAGGAGGGGGCCAGCAGUGCUAAAAAGAGCAACCCUGGGAUUAGAAGGGUGGGACUUUGAGUCUUGUGACAUCAGCCUGACCUCUGGAGAGAGAAAUGGGAUUAAGGAUUGAAUUCAACUAUUUAGCCAAUGAUUCAAUAAAUCAUGCCUAUGCAAUGAAACCCCAAUUAAAAACUUCGGAUACCAAGGCUCUGGUGAGGUUCCUGAUGGAGGAACAAAUUAAAGUCCCUGGAAGGCAUUGUCUCCUGAUUUUAAGGAGAGAGCAGUGGAAGAAGCUCUGUGUUCAAGACCCUUCCAGACCUUGUCCUAUCUGUCUCUUCAUUUGGCUGGUUCUGAUUUGUAUCAUUUAUAAUAAAACUGUAAACAUUAGUGCCUUCCUCAGUUCUGUGGGUCAUUUUAGAGAAUUAUCAAACCUGAGGGGGUUGUAGGAAACCCGAAUUUACUUAUAGUCAGCUGGUCAGAAGUGUAGGUGGCCUGAAGACACAUCCCCCUCCUCAAAACUUGUAGGUGUCACCUGAAGUGGGGGCAGUCUUGUAGGGGACUCUGCCCUCACCCUGUGGAAUCUCCAGGAGGCAGUUGCAAUAGAACACUGCUGUACCACAGUAACCACACAAUGGCCAUGUUUUAUUCAGCAAGAUAAAAUGUCAAGGAGUUCUCGUCAUGGCUCGGUGGUAACGAACCGAAUUAGUAACCAUGAGGACACAGGUUCGAUCACUGGCCUUGCUCAGUGGGUUAAGGAUCCAGCAUUGCUAUGAGCUGUAGUAUAGGUCACAGAUGCAGCUCGGAUCCCACGUUGCUGUGGCUGUGGCUAGGCUGGCGGCUACAGCUCUGAUUGGACCCUUAGCCUGGGAAUCUCCAUGUGCUAAAGGUGCGGCCCUAAAAAGACAAAAAUUGUGGAGAGAGGAUUAAGAUGGUGGAAUAGAAGGACUGGAACUCAACUGCUCUCCUAAAAACAACAAAAUUCACAACUAAAGGCUGAGCAAUCUCCACCCAAAUGGACCAGAAACCUUAAAAAAUAUACCCUACUCAGUAGAAAAAGAGGAGGCCACAUCAAGAGGUAGGAGGGGCAAUUUCGUGAUAUAAACAACCCCAUACAUCCAGGGUGGGAAGCUCCAGAGACUAAAAACCAACUGGUUCACAGAGACUCACCUAUAGGAGUGAAAGUUCUGAGCCCCACAUCAAACCCUCAUGUGCAGGGAUCCAGAACUGGGAGAAAGAGCCCCUGGAGCAUCUGGCAUUGAAGGCCAGUGGGGCUUGUGUGCAGGAGCUCCACAGGACUGGGGGAAAUGGAGACCCCAUUCUUAAAAGGUGCACACGGACUUUCACGUGCACUGGGUCCCAGGGCAGAGCAAAGGCUCCAUGGGAAUCUGGGUCAAACCUAACUGCAGUUCUUGGAGGACAUCCUGGGAAAACAGGGGUGAAUGUGGCUUGUUGUGAGGGAGGGACAUUGAAGGCAAAGCUCUAGGAAUAUUCAGCAGCUGCCUUUCUCUGGAGGUGGCCAUUUUCGGAAAAUCUGGCCCCACCCAUCAGUCAGUGCUGAGAAGCCCCAGGCCAAACAACAAUUCAGGUGGGAUCACAGCCCCACCCCUCAGUAAACAGGCUACCUAAAGACCCCUCAGGCACACAGCUGCCUCUAAUCCCAUCCAGAGACUAAGCCCCACCCACCAGAGGGGUUAGAAUCAGCUCCACCUACCAGGGGGCAGGCAUAAGCCCCUCCCAUCAGGAAGCCUACACCAAGCCCCCAUACUGACUUCAGCCACAAGGAGGGCAGACACCAGAAGUAAGAGAGGCUACAACUCUAUUCUCUGUAAAAAGGUCACCACACCAAAAACCUAUAAUGAUGAAAAGACAGAGAACUAUAACUCAGAUGAGGGAAAAAGGAAAAACCCAAGAAAAUCAGCUAAGCGAUGAGGAGAUUCUCAGGCUCCAGGAAAAAGACUUUAGACUGUUGAUGCUGAAGAUGAUGCAAGACAUUGGAAAUAAACUGGAGGCAAAGAUGCAUAACUUACAGGAAACACUGAGCAAAGAGAUACAAGAUAUCAAACUUAAACAAGAAGAGAUGCAAAAUACAAUAACUGAAAUAAAAAACUCACUAGAAGCAGCUAACAGCAGAAUACAGGAGGCAGAAGAACACUAAGCGAGGUGGAGGACAGAUUAGUGGAAAUUACGGAAGCAGAACAGAAAAGAGAAAAAAGAUUGAAAACAAAUGAAGAGAGUCUCAGAGAACUCUGGGACAACGUGAAACACAUCAACAUCCAUAUUAUAGGGGUGCCAGAAGGAGAAGAGAGAGAGAAGGGGACAGAAAAAAUAUUCCAAGAGAUAACAGCCGAAAACUUCCCUCACAUGGGAAAGGAACCACUCACUCAAAUCCAGGAAGCACAACGAGUACCAUAUAAAAUAAACCAAGGAGGAAUACACCGAGACACAUAUUAAUCAAACUGACCCAAAUGAAAGACAAAGAGAAAAUCUUGAAAGUAGCUAGGGGAAAGAAACAAGUAACAUACAAGGGAACCCCGAUAAGGUUAUCAGCAGAUUUUUCAGCAGAAACUCUGCAGGCCAGAAGGGAGUGGCACGAUAUACUUCACGUGAUGAAAGGAAAAAACCUCCAACCAAGAUUACUCUACCCAGCAAAGCUCUCACUUAGAUUUGAAGGAGACAUCAAAACCUUCUCAGAUAAGUAAAAGCUGAGAGAAUUCAGCAACACUAAACCAGCCUUAUAACAAAUACUAAAGGAACUUCUCUAGGCAGAAAAGAAAAGGCCGCAUCAGGGAACAAAAAUUCCACAAAUGACAAGGCUCACCAGUAAAGGUAUACAUACAGUAAAGAUAUGAAAUCAUCCACGCACAAUUAUACCACCAAAAUCAGGAAUCAUGAGAUGAGGUGGGUACAAAUGCAGGACACUGGAGAUGAACUUGCCAUUAAGAGUACAACAACUUAAAACAAUCUCAUAUACAUAUAGACUCUUAUAUCAAAACUUCAGAAUAACUGCAAACCAAAAAUCUACAAUUGAUACACAAACAAGGAAUCUCUUGAGAAGAAAUAUAUCUCAGAGUAAAUAAGUGCAUAAUCCACCGUGAAGGGGGGUCAUUUGACAUGAUUCUUGGAAUGCUGAAGUCUUCUUAGAUCUGAUUCUGAUUUCCUCUCCAUCAAAAAAUUUAUGAUAAUUAUAAUUAAAUGAUGCAACGGUACAAUUAAAUAAUACAGUUCUACAAUUGUAUUAUUAAUAACCAUUUCUCUCCAUGGUACAAUGUAAGGUCUAUAAUGUCUUGUUUAUCACAUCACCUAGAA